rnacentral:rRNA from 1 species
GACGAACGCUGGCGGCGUGCCUAAUACAUGCAAGUAGAACGCACAGUUUAUACCGUAGCUUGCUCCACCAUAGACUGUGAGUUGCGAACGGGUGAGUAACGCGUAGGUAACCUGCCUGGUAGCGGGGGAUAACUAUUGGAAACGAUAGCUAAUACCGCAUAAUAUUAAUUAUUGCAUGAUAAUUAAUUGAAAGGUGCAAUUGCACCACUACCAGAUGGACCUGCGUUGUAUUAGCUAGUAGGUGAGGUAACGGCCCACCUAGGCGACGAUACAUAGCCGACCUGAGAGGGUGAUCGGCCACACUGGGACUGAGACACGGCCCAGACUCCUACGGGAGGCAGCAGUAGGGAAUCUUCGGCAAUGGACGAAAGUCUGACCGAGCAACGCCGCGUGAGUGAAGAAGGUUUUCGGAUCGUAAAGCUCUGUUGUAAGAGAAGAACGGGUGUGAGAGUGGAAAGUUCACACUGUGACGGUAUCUUACCAGAAAGGGACGGCUAACUACGUG